rnacentral:rRNA from 1 species
GACGAACGCUGGCGGCGUGCUUAACACAUGCAAGUCGAACGGAAAGGCUCCAGCUUGCUGGAGUACUCGAGUGGCGAACGGGUGAGUAACACGUGGGUGAUCUGCCCUGCACUUCGGGAUAAGCCUGGGAAACUGGGUCUAAUACCGGAUAGGACCGCACUUUGGUGUGUGUGGUGGAAAGGUUUUUCUGGUGUGGGAUGAGCUCGCGGCCUAUCAGUUUGUUGGUGGGGUAAUGGCCUACCAAGACGGCGACGGGUAGCCGGCCUGAGAGGGUGGACGGUCACAUUGGGACUGAGAUACGGCCCAGACUCCUACGGGGGGCAGCAGUGGGGAAUAUUGCACAAUGGGGGAAACCCUGAUGCAGCGACGCCGCGUGGGGGAUGAAGGCCUUCGGGUUGUAAACUCCUUUCGCUAGGGACGAAGCUUUUUGUGACGGUACCUGGAGAAGAAGCACCGGCUAACUACGUGC